GUGCAAGUGUGAUGUUCAGUGCAAAGCACGGCAGUAGCGAAAACGCCACAAAGAUCCAAGACUAUUUUUCAACUGAUACCUAGAAUCCUUUAAUUAGAUUCAGAGGCAGAGCGUUAAGAUUUGGCCAAAUCGGAACUGCAACUCAGAAAUAACUUAGGACAGUUAAUAGGUGAUUUUUUUAAAUGUAUAGUUAUAGCUAUCGCACAUCAUUUUUACAAAGUCGUGCAUUAACUAAUGGAGCAGAAGCACCACCUAUUAAGAUUCAAAUUCAGAAACAUAAUCUAAUACUACAAACUUUCCUUCGCAAUAUGCUUCAUUAUUUUACAUUCAAUGUUCGUUAUCAUAUGAAGCCAUGAAUCUAUAUAACUUGAAAGCAACUUAUCCAAUCACGAACACACUCACAAAACAAAUCCAACUAGUUUUUAUUCUUUUUUUAUUUCCCGACAGUCAGCUGAAAAAAAUAAAAGAAUCUCUAGUUCAGUUUUCCACAUAAUUAAAACAAGAAGAAACUCUCAAGCCGCCUUAACUUACACAGCGGGCCCCAUGCCUGGCGCUGGGAGGAAUGGCGAGGCUGUCCUGUCCCUAGGGCAGAGGGCUUGCGGGGCUGAGCACCUGAGCACAAGUACUUCGUGGUCAAGAGUGUUCCACAUUGCUGACAUUCAGCUCAGCCUCAGAAGCACCCUUGACAACUACCGAUGGCCACAGCCAAAUGGUUACCUGUAAAGUGGCCACUGCACCGUUUUCAGACAUGCCUGAACGAACUGCACACAGUGGGCCUGCAGAGCUGCGCCUUCCAGCCCCCUGCCUCGCCUGGCCGACCACUCCCGCUCUACACUUCGGAAGCAGGCUCAAGACUGCCUACCUCUUAAAGCUGCUGGAGAAGUGAGCCCAAUUCCAUAAGGACUGCAGGGGCCAAAGAUGACGCUCCCCUAGUCGUCACUGACUCUCCUUGUUGCACGAGUUACAGACCCGCAGGAGGACACCAGCAUCCUGGCUGGGCCCUGACCAGACCCUUGCACUGCACCCUAACCCUGGCUGGCCAUCCCCGUGACCUGCAGGCCCACAGCCCUUCUAGAACCACCAACCAACUCUACUCGGCACUCUGGCCUACUUGCCACAUGGACAACACGAUUGCUGGACCCUGAAGACAUCUUAGCUGGUGACCUACAAACAUCUGCUUGCAGGAUCUUCUUGGAGCAAGCCUUAGACAUCCAGGAAGUAGCAGGAGCCCCAAGGUUCAGUUUCUCAAGAG
rnacentral:lncRNA from 1 species